ACCGCCGGAACGAGCCACUCGGAAGCGGCGGAUACUUUGCCGCCGCGGCUCUCUGCCUCCGGCGCGGGCCCCCGAGCGCCUUUCUCACCCAGCCGGGGACGUGGGAGCCGCGGAGGACACGGGGCGCGCGCAGUCUGAGGCGCGGACGAACCAUCGUUGUCAGCAUAAGUGUGUCUUAAACGCCGCACGCGCUCGGCCUGCGGCGCGUCGGUCAGCGCGCUCCUCGCGUCCCCUGCACUGUCCCUGUCUCGACUCCUGUGCACGAACGUGGACGGCGAAGCCCACUGCAAACGACCGUUUGCCCUGGCGGGGGGCUGCACCCGAGACAUCCACUGCCUCCCCCUCCCAUCGGUAAUGGCCUCCUUUAUUAACGCCUGUACCAUCAUCGGCAAAUAUGUAUUCAGCAUCUGUUCUGUUACAGAGGAGCAAUCUACACUAGAGAAACCCUAGACACUUCCAGUAAUUUCUCUGAGGGCUGAAUAUCGUCACUAAAUCUUUUUACUCAGAUAAAGAAGACCAGGGCCACGUGGUGACGAGUCAGAUCUACAACCAUGCUAUUCCCACUGUCCUUCCACUGUUCUUUACACUAAACAUGUUGCCUACAAACAAACGCAAGAUUUCAUUCAAAGUCUCUAGAGGCCGUGCAGAAUCAUAACAUUUUAAAUCAGGCAAGACCUCAGAAUUCCGAAACGCCCAAGCCUACAGAUAACUUCUCAGAAUUCUUGAGAAGUUUCAUUAGAAUCUCCUACAGGCAGUAUUGGCGUGGAAUAACAUAUUUUCACUGAAGCAGUUCUCAUCGUAAGCCAACUCCUCUGAUGAAGAAAUGCGAAUAACAUUGGAAUACCCAAGUAGUUACUCUAUGACAAGCUAAAGUGGGCAAACAUGAGCCAAAUAAGUCAAAGAAAAUCAGGGCACCCAGAAAUAGAAUAUGAAGCACAGUGAGUUGUGCAUUGCUGGAGAGCUACAGCAGCGGACCGGCCAACUUGGCCUAGAGAUAAAUGUCCGAAAUAAAUUAAAGAGACAGAGGAGCGCACAAUAAAAGCCACUGUCCACAGAUGUUGCAGAUACGGAACGCAGGACAGUACUUUAUUAAUGCAAUGAUUAUAUCUAUAUAUGUAUAUACUAUUUUGUAAUUCACGAAGUGCUUCUUCCUACCUUAUUUAAUCCGGAGACAUUGGAGAUUAGGUAUUAUUUAUUAAUAUUCCCAUAUUUAUGAGGAAACAGGCUAGAUAGAUUGUUACUUGACAGAAGUCAAAAAGUAAUGGGAUGAAGACCAAACCUAGGUUUUAUGACUCCAAAUACAGUGCUCUUUCCAUGUAAUUACACCCGAAACGUGGAAGAAAUUCUUGAGUACUUCAAGAAGGCCGCAGUGGUCUUUCUUUCUUCUAGAGAAUGCCAGAACUUACUCCUACCUAAGUGCAUUUGCACUUGCUUUCCGCUCUAUCUGGAGCAUCCUUCCCAGACACUCCUUAAUGACUCAGCCACCACCUGCUUAGAGAAGCUUUUAUACUACACCUUAUCUAAAGAAGCACCCCCUCCCCGCCCCCGUCCCUGACACUCUAUCGCAUUGCCUUGUUUGAUUUCCCUUAAAAUCUUGCUACUUCAAGUGUGAGCUGUGGACCCUUAGCACUGGCGUCACCUGGGAGCUUAUACGAAAUGUAGACUCUCAGGUCUCACUCUGGACCUAAGAGGUCAGAAUCUGCAUUCUGGUAAGAAUUCCCUGCGUCAUCUGUAUGCACGUUACAAUUUGAGAAGCGGUUUUAGAGCAUAUAUCACUUUCUGAAAGUAACUUGUUUAUUUUUUGUGCAUUUUUAAGAAAAACUAAAUAUUUUUAAAUAUUAAGUAUUUCAUGAUAACUGAAAAUUAUAAAGGAAAGAUAACGGACACCCAGAUACCUGCAACCCAGCUCAAUCAUAGGGUAACGUUUUAUUAUAUUUGCUUUAGAUCUUAAAAAUAAUAAUUUAGCAAAGACCCCUGUGUUGCCCCUCUCCAACCCUAGCCUCUUU